rnacentral:lncRNA from 1 species
UUAUGUCAUAAUUUGCACACCACCCCCCCACCCCCUUCCUUUCCUCCCUCCUCUCUGGUUUAAGUAAAUAAACUUUAGAAUUAUCUGUGUGUAUGGAUAGGUAGACUGAGAGGACAAUCUGUCGAGAACAAUUUUUGUAGCCUAGGGGGAAACUUUUGAUCCUGCACACUCUUCUCUCCUCUUUGUUUCUUAUCCCCUUUAUAUUUCGUUCUUCCGUUUUCUCCUUAAUAAAGAAAGGCGUCAGAAUCCAAAGUCAAUGACUUGAUGAAGGUACUGUGGCACCUGCUAAUGUUCUGUCACUUUUAAUGUCAAUUUCUGAACUGAUUAGUCAGUCAAACAAUACUUACUAAAAGAAUGCAGUAUUCAUCUGGGGUUGCAUAUCCUCUACUAAUUAUCCCCUUUCUCUUGUUAGUUUUGUUGUCUUAUUAAAAGCCCAUGACAGGGUUUAUCCUAUCAGAAAUAAGUACAAUUUUGUACGAGACUUAGGAAUUCUUGCAAUUUGAGCACAAAUUUUAAGUACAAUAAAAAGGAUCAUAUGAGUGUAAUAGGUAAGCAUGAGUUUGUAGCUGUCUUGUUCUUUUUUGUUGCCGCCAUAACUGUUUAAUGUGUGGUAAGAGAAGUUUCAGAACUCUAAUGACUGGCACCUGUGAAUGUGAAUGGCACCUGUUUGUCAAACUAUUCUUUUUCUAAAAGAUUUUGGAUUUUUUCCCUGGAAAAUAAACAGGUAAACCUUUUUUUCUCGAACACUUAGGGAUGCUUUUCACUAUUUCACUUGCAAUUAUGGAGCACAUCCAUUGUCACUAACGAGUGCUGACAUCAAUAUCUGAUUACAAAGGAG